rnacentral:rRNA from 1 species
GACGAACGCUGGCGGCGUGCCUAAUACAUGCAAGUAGAACGCUGAAGAGAGGAGCUUGCUCUUCUUGGAUGAGUUGCGAACGGGUGAGUAACGCGUAGGUAACCUGCCUUGUAGCGGGGGAUAACUAUUGGAAACGAUAGCUAAUACCGCAUAACAAUGGAUGACACAUGGCAUUUAUUUGAAAGGGGCAAUUGCUCCACUACAAGAUGGACCUGCGUUGUACUAGCUAGUAGGUGAGGUAAUGGCUCACCUAGGCGACGAUACAUAGCCGACCUGAGAGGGUGAUAGGCCACCCUGGGACGGAGACACGGCCCAGACGCCUACGGGAGGCAGCAGUAGGGAAUCUGCGGCAAUGGGGGGAACCCUGACCGAGCAACGCCGAGUGAGUGAAGAAGGUUCUCGGAUCGGAAAGCUCUGUUGUAAGUCAAGAACGGGUGUGAGAGUGGAAAGUUCACACUGUGACGGUAGCUUACCAGAAAGGGACGGCUAACUACGUG